rnacentral:rRNA from 1 species
GCAUAUCAAUAAGCGGAGGAAAAGAAACCAACAGGGAUUGCCCCAGUAACGGCGAGUGAAGCGGCAACAGCUCAGAUUUGGAAUCUGGCCCCCAGGGCCCGAGUUGUAAUCUGGAGAGGAUGCUUCUGGCGCGGCGCCUUCCGAGUUCCCUGGAACGGGACGCCGGAGAGGGUGAGAGCCCCGUACGGUCGGACGCCUAGCCUUUGUGAAGCUCCUUCGACGAGUCGAGUAGUUUGGGAAUGCUGCUCAAAAUGGGAGGUAAAUUUCUUCUAAAGCUAAAUAUUGGCCAGAGACCGAUAGCGCACAAGUAGAGUGAUCGAAAGAUGAAAAGCACUUUGAAAAGAGGGUUAAACAGUACGUGAAAUUGUUGAAAGGGAAGCGCCCGUGGCCAGACUUGUGCCCCGCGGACCACCCGGCGCCCUCAGCGCCGGUGCACUCCGCGGGGCGCAGGCCAGCAUCGGUUUUUCCAGGGGGACAAAGGCGGCGGGAACGUGGCUCCCUCGGGAGUGUUAUAGCCCGCCGCGCCAUGCCCCUGGGGGGACCGAGGACCGCGCUUCGGCAAGGAUGCUGGCGUAAUGGCCACCGGCGACCCGUCUUGAAACACGGACCAAGGAGUCAAGCAUUGGGGCGAGUGUCUGGGUGCCAAACCCGCACGCGAAAUGAAAGUGAACGCAGGUGAGAGCUUCGGCGCAUCAUCGACCGAUCCUGAUGUUCUCGGAUGGAUUUGAGUAAGAGCCUUACCGCUUGGACCCGAAAGAUGGUGAACUAUGCCUGUAUAGGGUGAAGCCAGAGGAAACUCUGGUGGAGGCUCGCAGCGGUUCUGACGUGCAAAUCGAUCGUCAAAUAUGGGCAUGGGGGGCGAAAGACUAAUCGAACCAUCUAGUAGCUGGUUACCGCCGAAG